rnacentral:rRNA from 1 species
UACGUAGGGUGCAAGCGUUAAUCGGAAUUACUGGGCGUAAAGCGUGCGCAGGCGGUCCGUUAAGACAGAUGUGAAAUCCCCGGGCUUAACCUGGGAACUGCAUUUGUGACUGGCGGACUCGAGUAUGGCAGAGGGGGGGUAGAAUUCCACGUGUAGCAGUGAAAUGCGUAGAGAUGUGGAGGAAUACCCGAUGGCGAAGGCAGCCCCCUGGGCCCAAUACUGACGCUCA